AUGAGUUGCAUCAGCUGGAACUGCCGGGGGCUUGGGAACCCCAAGGCAGUUCGAGAACUUCGCAGUACUGUGAAGAUUGAAGGCCCCGCUCUUCUCUUUGUCAUGGAAACGAAAAUAAGAGCUAAAAGAGUAGAGGAUUUGCAGAGCAGUUUGGGUUUUGCUGGUAGUUUUUCCGUAGACAGUGCAGGCCUUAGUGGCAGCAUUGGUAUGUUUUGGUCCCGAGAU
rnacentral:rRNA from 1 species